rnacentral:rRNA from 1 species
AGUGAACGCUGGCGGUAGACCUAACACAUGCAAGUCGAACGGCAGCACAGUAAGAGCUUGCUCUUACGGGUGGCGAGUGGCGGACGGGUGAGGAAUACAUCGGAAUCUACUUUUUCGUGGGGGAUAACGUAGGGAAACUUACGCUAAUACCGCAUACGACCUACGGGUGAAAGCAGGGGAUCUUCGGACCUUGCGCGAUUGAAUGAGCCGAUGUCGGAUUAGCUAGUUAGCGGGGUAAAGGCCCACCAAGGCGACGAUCCGUAGCUGGUCUGAGAGGAUGAUCAGCCACACUGGAACUGAGACACGGUCCAGACUCCUACGGGAGGCAGCAGUGGGGAAUAUUGGACAAUGGGCGCAAGCCUGAUCCAGCCAUACCGCGUGGGUGAAGAAGGCCUUCGGGUUGUAAAGCCCUUUUGUUGGGAAAGAAAAGCAGCAGGUUAAUACCCCGCUGUUCUGACGGUACCCAAAGAAUAAGCACCGGCUAACUUCGUG